rnacentral:rRNA from 1 species
CAGCCGCCGCGGUAAUACAGAGGGUGCGAGCGUUAAUCGGAUUUACUGGGCGUAAAGCGUGCGUAGGCGGCUAAUUGAGUCGGAUGUGAAAUCCCCGAGCUUAACUUGGGAAUUGCAUUCGAUACUGGUUAGCUAGAGUGUGGGAGAGGAUGGUAGAAUUCCAGGUGUAGCGGUGAAAUGCGUAGAGAUCUGGAGGAAUACCGAUGGCGAAGGCAGCCAUCUGGCCUAACACUGACGCUGAGGUACGAAAGCAUGGGGAGCAAACAGGAUUAGAUACCCGUGUAGUCCCUGUCUCUUAUAA